rnacentral:rRNA from 1 species
UACGUAGGGAGCAAGCGCUGUUCGGAUUUACUGGGCGUAAAGGGCGGGUAGGCGGCCACCGCAAGUCAGUUGUGAAAUCUCUGGGCUUAACCCAGAAAGGUCAACUGAUACUGCGGGGCUAGAGUGCAGAAGGGGCAACUGGAAUUCUCGGUGUAGCGGUGAAAUGCGUAGAUAUCGAGAGGAACACCUGCGGCGAAGGCGGGUUGCUGGGCUGACACUGACGCUGAAAUGCGAAAGCUAGGGGAGCGAACGGG